UACAGAGGGUGCAAGCGUUAAUCGGAAUUACUGGGCGUAAAGGGCGCGUAGGCGGUUAUGUAAGUGAGAUGUGAAAUCCCCGGGCUUAACCUGGGAACUGCAUCUUAAACUGCAUAGCUGGAGUACUGUAGAGGAUAGUGGAAUUUCCGGUGUAGCGGUGAAAUGCGUAGAGAUCGGAAGGAACAUCAGUGGCGAAGGCGACUGUCUGGACAGAUACUGACGCUGAGGCGCGAAAGCGUGGGGAGCAAACAGG
rnacentral:rRNA from 1 species